AAUUGUUGCAUUGACACAAAAAUUAUCGUUUCUUUAAACAGUAUUUAAAACUUCUUGAAAUAUUCGCCUAAACAGUUUUAACUGAUAGCAACUCCUCCUUCGCCUGAAUGCGAAGAAAUCCUGAAUCAUACUGUUGUUGAUUCUUGUCAGCUGUUGCUAGAAAUGCCGGAAACUUAUUCUUUCAUGUGAUAUUAUUUUGCACAUUUUUUUGGCUUAUAAAUUGUUAAUUAUUCCGUACUCUAAAUUGCUCAAAGGAAUAACGGCAUUUUGUUCAGAUAAUUAAAACGUUCUUAAAUAGAAAUUAUUGUCCUAAAAUUCGUAAAGGUCCAGUACCAGCAACUUGUUCAGGUUAGAAUUUUUACUGGCUUGUUUAACGUUUUCGUAGUUUGAUAAUCUGUGGUUUUCACUCAUUUAAAAUGAACACGGAGCAGAUGUCAUCAUUGAACCGUUGAAAAUGCGCGAAAGUCACGAUGUGUUGGCACUCUCCAGUUUAUCUGUGUUAAAGAUUGGUGGAAACAGUUAAAAGCAAAUAAAACAACAUAUCUGCACAUACUCCAAGAGAAUAACUGGCGAAGUAGGCGAUCAACUAGGCAUGAAGUUUGAAUCACAUGCAUUGGAUCUGAUUGCAGAGCUGACCUACAAGAAACUGUCGCUGUAUGGUGCAGAUUUGGAGGCUUUUGCCAAGCAUGCUAGACGCUCAAUGGUGACUGCAGAUGAUGUUAAAUUGCUAGUGCGGAGAAAUGAUUCUUUGAAAAAACUGGUUGACGAAAAGGCGCAACGUUUACAGGAAAAUAAACCACCUGAGGCGACGGGUUCCGUUAAAAGAAAACGGAAAACCACCAACAGCACCAGUUGAUGGGAUCAGUGAAAAAUAGACUGUUUCCAAUACCAUGCAGCACAUUUUACAUACAACUUCAGAAGGUAAGACCCUUGGUGCUUCUUCCAUCACCUGAGAAGGUGCCAGCCAACAAAACAUCAACAGCGACAUGUUUCUUUUAUUGUUUGUAUGGUUUUUUAAUUUAAAUUUUCUCUAGCUA